CGAGGUGUAGCGCAACUGGUAGCGCACCUGCUUUCGGAGCAGGAUGUCGCAGGUUCGAGUCCUGACACCUCGACCA
rnacentral:tRNA from 1 species